UUCCAAGUGAUAAUGAAAGACCCCCAAAGGGAGACCCUCACUCAAGUCUUGGGAAGGCGAGCACCCAGCGAGACACUGAGACUG
rnacentral:pre_miRNA from 7 species